AUUGAACGCUGGCGGCAUGCCUUACACAUGCAAGUCGAACGUGAAAGGGGGGCAACCCCCGACGUAGAGUGGCGGACGGGUGAGUAACACAUCGGAACGUACCCAGUAGUGGGGACAACCUCGAGAAAUCGAGGCUAAUACCGCAUACGACCCACGGGUGAAAGCGGGGACCGCAAGGCCUCGCGCUAUUGGAGCGGCCGAUGUCCGAUUAGCUUGUUGGCGGGGUAAGAGCCCACCAAGGCGACGAUCGGUAGCUGGUCUGAGAGGAUGAUCAGCCACAC
rnacentral:rRNA from 1 species